UCUCCCAACUUCUUGUCUCCCUCUCAGCUUCCUAUGUCCUUGCUGCCUGAGCCCUGGACAGCUCUCCGCUCGACCCUACCUGCCCUUGGGGUUUGGGGGUGAGUUGGCACAGAGUCAACAACACCGACCCUGGGAGCAAACGGGCUUGCACGCCUCCAGCCUCUAUGCUGGACAUUUUAACGGCUUGAUCCUGCACAGAUCUUCUGUGGGUAUCCAUAGCUGCUGUGAGUUCCUGUAUGCAAGUCCCGUGCCAUGUCGAGAGGACAGCACUUUAUACGGUGCUCUCCAUCCUCCAGUCUUCACGUCCUCCCCUCCCCUCUUCUGCAAUGUCCCCUGGGAGACACUGGUGGGGUUUGGGGAUGUUGAUGUAAAUGUCUCGUCCAUGUGGCAUGGUCACAUUUUCAGCCCUUUGAGCAGCCACGUGUCUCUGAAUUAAUUAACUACUACCCACCACAGUGAGUAGCAUCUCUGGCCAAACUUGGAGCAGCAUAAAUCUACAGAUAUAAGUAAAAGAAGCCUGCACAGCCCCUCCCAGCACUGAGCACACCAGCCAUUAGGAAGAGUCUCUCAUCAGCUCAAGCCUGCGCAGCCCCUCCCAGCCCUGAGCACACCAGUCAGCGGAAGAGUUUCUCAUCAGCUCAAGACUGUUUUUUCUGUGUCCUGCAGCCAAAGUGUGUUCAAUAUUUCAUUGUGUGCCAGGUUUGUAUUAUUCAACAGAAAUGCUGCAGGAAGUAUCUCCAUACCUGGUUUCAAAUUAUCCUACAGAAACUUUAGUAAUAAAAACAGUUUGCUACUGACAUACAAACAGAUGUCUCAAUCAAUGGAAUAAAAUUAAGGAUCCAGAUAAAAGGCCAUAUAACUAUAGCUACUUGGUCUUUGACAAUGAUGCCAAAAGUACUCAUUGGAAGAGAGAGACAGCAUCUUUGACAAAUAUCGCCAUGCAGAAAGGUGAAGCUAGAUCCUUUCCUCUCAUCUUGCUCAACACUCAACUCCAAAGAGGUGGAGGACCUCAACAUAAAACCUGAUACAUACUCUGAAACUUCUAGAGGAACAUGUGAGAAGCAACGUCCAGCUCGAAGACCUGAGUGAGGACUUACUAAACAGUAUUCCCAGUAGCUCAGGGAAUAACACCUACUAAAUGGGAUCUUGUGAAACCAAACCACUUCUCUCCAACAAAGGAAACUGUCAAUCAAGUGAAGAGGCAGUCCACAGAAUGGGAGACGUCUUUGCCAGCUCUCAGAUAGAGGGUUAGAGUCUAGACGAUGCAAAGGGCUAAGACAAACUAAAUACCCAGAAAACAAACAACCCAAUUAAAAAGAGGCCAUGGAACUGACCUGAAACAACUGGCUUUAUCUUGUAAGUUUACUAAAUAUAGCUAUGAGUCCUAAGAAGCUUUUGGGGGGAGCCCUCAGGAUUUUAUAUCUAUAAGAUCUCAUCAUAGGCAAGUAGAAAUUCGAGUUCAUCUGUUCCACUUCAUGUGUUCUUCAUUGUUUUCUUUUGCCUGAUUGUCCUGACCAAGGCAUUGAAAGUCACGUUGAGUCUCAUGGCGAGAAUGGAAAUCAUUGUCUCAUUCCUGGUCUUAGAGUAAAAGUUCUUACCUCA